UUAUUGGAGAGUUUGAUCCUGGCUCAGGACGAACGCUGGCGGCGUGCCUAAUACAUGCAAGUCGAGCGAAUUGAU
rnacentral:rRNA from 1 species